GACGAACGCUGGCGGCGUGCUUAACACAUGCAAGUCGAACGGAAAGGCCCUGCUUGCAGGGUACUCGAGUGGCGAACGGGUGAGUAACACGUGGGUGAUCUGCCCUGCACUUCGGGAUAAGCCUGGGAAACUGGGUCUAAUGCCGGAUAGGAGCCAUUUUUAGUGUGAUGGUUGGAAAGUUUUUUUCGGUGUAGGAUGAGCUCGCGGCCUAUCAGCUUGUUGGUGGGGUAAUGGCCUACCAAGGCGGCGACGGGUAGCCGGCCUGAGAGGGUGGACGGCCACAUUGGGACUGAGAUACGGCCCAGACUCCUACGGGAGGCAGCAGUGGGGAAUAUUGCACAAUGGGCGCAAGCCUGAUGCAGCGACGCCGCGUGGGGGAGGACGGCCUUCGGGUUGUAAACUCCUUUCGCUAGGGACGAAGCUUUUUGUGACGGUACCUAGAUAAGAAGCACCGGCUAACUACGUG
rnacentral:rRNA from 1 species